ACACUCCUGCGGGAGGCAGCAGUGGGGAAUAUUGGACAAUGGGCGCAAGCCUGAUCCAGCCAUGCCGCGUGAGUGAUGAAGGCCCUAGGGUUGUAAAGCUCUUUCACCGGUGAAGAUAAUGACGGUAACCGGAGAAGAAGCCCCGGCUAACUUCGUGCCAGCAGCCGCGGUAAUACGAAGGGGGCUAGCGUUGUUCGGAUUUACUGGGCGUAAAGCGCACCUAGGCGGACUAUUAAGUCAGGGGUGAAAUCCCGGGGCUCAACCCCGGAACUGCCUUUGAUACUGGUAGUCUUGAGUUCGAGAGAGGUGAGUGGAAUUCCGAGUGUAGAGGUGAAAUUCGUAGAUAUUCGGAGGAACACCAGUGGCGAAGGCGGCUCACUGGCUCGAUACUGACGCUGAGGUGCGAAAGCGUGGGGAGCAAACAGGAUUAGAUACCCCAGUAGUCCCAUGAU
rnacentral:rRNA from 1 species